rnacentral:rRNA from 1 species
CCUACGGGGGGCAGCAGUGAGGAAUAUUGGUCAAUGGACGAGAGUCUGAACCAGCCAAGUAGCGUGAAGGAUGACUGCCCUAUGGGUUGUAAACUUCUUUUAUAUGGGAAUAAAAUGUGCCACGUGUGGGAUUUUGUAUGUACCAUAUGAAUAAGGAUCGGCUAACUCCGUGCCAGCAGCCGCGGUAAUACGGAGGAUCCGAGCGUUAUCCGGAUUUAUUGGGUUUAAAGGGAGCGUAGGUGGAUUGUUAAGUCAGUUGUGAAAGUUUGCGGCUCAACCGUAGAAUUGCAGUUGAAACUGGCAGUCUGGAGUACAGUAGAGGUGGGCGGAAUUCGUGGUGUAGCGGUGAAAUGCUUAGAUAUCACGAAGAACUCCGAUUGCGAAGGCAGCUCACUGGACUGCAACUGACACUGAGGCUCGAAAGUGUGGGUAUCAAACAGGAUUAGAUACCCUUGUAGUC